CAGACGAUGCGUCAUGCAUAUCAAUAAGCGGAGGAAAAGAAACUAACAAGGAUUCCCUCAGUAACGGCGAGCGAAGCGGGAAGAGCUCAAAUUUGAAAUCUUCAAGGUUUUACCUUGACGAAUUGUAGUUUAAAGAAGUGUUUUCUGCUGAAGUUUUGGUAAAAGUUCUUUGGAAUAGGACAUCAUAGAGGGUGAGAAUCCCGUAUUUGACCAUUAUUUUCAGCUUUGUGAUACACUUUCAAAGAGUCGGAUUGUUUGGGAAUGCAGUCCAAAAUGGGUGGUAAAUUUCAUCUAAAGCUAAAUAUUGGCGAGAGACCGAUAGCGAACAAGUACCGUGAGGGAAAGAUGAAAAGAACUUUGAAAAGAGAGUUAAACAGUACGUGAAAUUGUCAAAAGGGAAGCGUUUCGACACCAGUGUUGUUUUCUCGAAAAUCAAUUAAAAAUGGCUCGAUUUUGUAUUGUUUGAGACCUUAAAAGCUCACUGUACAUUUUUCGUGUCUUUUUUAAUGCACUUUUCGUUUAACAAGUCAACAUCAGUUUCUUUUGUUGUAAAAGGGUCAUUGGAAGGUGGCUUUCUUUUCGGAGAAAGUGUUUAUAGCCUUUGGCCUCUGCAAUCGGAGAGACUGAGGUCUGCAGCGUAGACUCAUCGGGGUUAGAUACAUUUGUGCUAAGUUAUAGCUUUUUAUAGACAACUUGUUGACUAUAAUUAGUCUUGUAGCUUACUCGCUUAUGCUAUUUUACCUACGCUUAGGAUGUUGACUGAUAUGUAGUCGUA
rnacentral:rRNA from 1 species